rnacentral:tRNA from 1 species
GCGCCUGUAGCUCAGCGGAUAGAGUAUCGGCCUCCGAAGCCGAGGGUCGUGGGUUCAAAUCCCGCCAGGCGCGCCA